UACGUAGGGGGCGAGCGUUGUCCGGAUUUAUUGGGCGUAAAGAGCGUGUAGGCGGCCAGGUAGGUCUGCUGUGAAAACUCGAGGCUCAACCUCGAGACGUCGGCGGAAACCAUCUGGCUAGAGUCCGGAAGAGGAGAAUGGAAUUCCUGGUGUAGCGGUGAAAUGCGCAGAUAUCAGGAAGAACACCAAUGGCGAAGGCAGCUCUCUGGGACGGUACUGACGCUGAGACGCGAAAGCGUGGGGAGCGAACAGG
rnacentral:rRNA from 1 species